CCUCUCGUCCCACUCCCUCACUUCUCUCCACUUUCCCCCUCCCCCGCGCAGAACCACCUCCAUCCUCCCCCGUCGCCCGCUUCCUCCUACCCAGCCGCGUGCCACCGCGCCUACCACCUUCCUCCCCCACCUACCUCCCACGGCUGGCGCGCUGCCCAACCACCCCGCCCCACCCUGCCGGUGGCCUUCCUCCCAUCGCCGGUGAGCCACCCCUCCGACUGCUUCCCAGCAUGAACCGGCGCCGGAUCCAGGCCUCGACGGGCCCCCGCGACGUCCCGGCGCCGGAUCCAGGCCAGGGCAGGCCCCCAUGACGCCCCGCUGCCGGAGCCAGGCCGCGACGGCCCCCCGCGCCGCCGCCCAACCUGCUCUGCCCGCGCCACCGCCCAACCUGCUUCCCUCAUGCCGCCGCCUAACCUCCUCCCCCCGAGCCGCCGCCCCACCUCCGCGACUCACCCUUCCCUCCCCGGCCUCCUUCUACCUCCGCCGUCGCACCGGCCGGCCUAGCCCCGCCGUCAUCCUCGAGAAGUGCGCCGCGAGCCCUGGAGCAGUGCACCGCGAGCCUCUCUAGCAGCUCAUCCAUGGGCGCCGGCAAUUUUUUUGGCUUCUGCAGUUCGGUGCCCCCCGCGUGCAGUCCGGUGGUGCUAUGCAUGUAGUGCUCAGGUGAGCCGCACUGCAGCUCGGUUUGGUGGGCGCCACUGUCCUCCGACGGGCAUGUGUGCAGUGCAGUCCGGCGGCGAGGGUAGCCAUCUCCUCUCACGCUUCCAGCAGCAUCAGGAGGAGGAUGGUGGAGAAAUAUUCUCCCAGGUCAGUUGGGCGUUGGUGCAGUACGCAAGCACUUGAGAGGACGAUUGGCACGCACUUCAGUUUCAGCCGUGCGACGCUGCAGUAUGGAUGCACGCGGCAGGAGGUUCGUUGCUGCAGUUUGCUUGGUGUUGGCAGGAGGUUCUUCAGCUGGCCCAUGUAGUUUACCUGGUGCAGUUCGGCCGGUUGAUGGUUGCGGUUAAAAGGAAAAUUGGGUGGGGUCCACUUUCUUUGGGAUGAAAAAAUAAGUGCAAAUGUGGUUCACUAAUUAUUUUCUCAGGGUUCAGUUAACUAUAUUUUGUGUGAUGAGAGCCGCUCCGACGUUUGAUGUAGUUAACUGAACCCUGAGAAAAGUUAUAUGGACUCGUUUGAAAAUUGUUUACCAAAGAAGUUCAUUUAGAAUUGUGUUGCGGCUCA